rnacentral:rRNA from 1 species
AUUGAACGCUGGCGGCAUGCCUUACACAUGCAAGUCGAACGGUAACGCGGGGCAACCUGGCGACGAGUGGCGAACGGGUGAGUAAUACAUCGGAACGUGCCCAGUAGUGGGGGAUAGCCCGGCGAAAGCCGGAUUAAUACCGCAUACGACCUACGGGUGAAAGGGGGCGAUCGCAAGACCUCUCGCUAUUGGAGCGGCCGAUGUCAGAUUAGGUUGUUGGUGGGGUAAAAGCCUACCAAGCCGACGAUCUGUAGCUGGUCUGAGAGGACGACCAGCCACACUGGGACUGAGACACGGCGCAGACUCCGACGGGAGGCAGCAGUGGGGAAGUUUGGACAAUGGGCGCAAGCCUGAUCCAGCCAUGCCGCGUGCGGGAAGAAGGCCUUCGGGUUGUAAACCGCUUUUGUCAGGGAAGAGACGGCUUGGAUUAAUACUUCGAGCUAAUGACGGUACCUGAAGAAUAAGCACCGGCUAACUACGUGCCAGCCGCCGCAGUAAAAC